rnacentral:misc_RNA from 1 species
UCUCCGUAGGUGAACCUGCGGAGGGAUCAUUACAGAGUUCAUGCCCUACCGGGUAGAACUCCCACCCUAUGUUAUUAUUACUUUGUUGCUUUGGCGGGCCGUUAGGCUCCGGCCCGACUACCGGCCCCGGCUGGUAAGCGCCCGCCAGAGGACCCAAAACCCUGAAUGUUAGUGUCGUCUGAGUACUAUAUAAUAGUUAAAACUUUCAACAACGGAUCUCUUGGUUCUGGCAUCGAUGAAGAACGAGC